AUUGAACGCUGGCGGCAGGCUUAACACAUGCAAGUCGAGCGGAGAUGAGGUGCUUGCACCUUAUCUUAGCGGCGGACGGGUGAGUAAUGCUUAGGAAUCUGCCUAUUAGUGGGGGACAACAUUCCGAAAGGAAUGCUAAUACCGCAUACGUCCUACGGGAGAAAGCAGGGGAUCUUCGGACCUUGCGCUAAUAGAUGAGCCUAAGUCGGAUUAGCUAGUUGGUGGGGUAAAGGCCUACCAAGGCGACGAUCUGUAGCGGGUCUGAGAGGAUGAUCCGGCACGCUGGGACUGAGACACGGCCCAGACUCGUACGGGAGGCAGCAGUGGGGAAUAUUGGACAAUGGGGGAGACCCUGAUCCAGCCAUGCCGCGUGUGUGAAGAAGGCCUUAUGGUUGUAAAGCACUUUAAGCGAGGAGGAGGCUACUGAGACUAAUACUCUUGGGUAGUGGACGUUACUCGCAGAAGAAGCACCUGCUAACUCUGUGCCAUCAGCCGCGGUAA
rnacentral:rRNA from 1 species